rnacentral:rRNA from 1 species
AGUGAACGCUGGCGGUAGGCCUAACACAUGCAAGUCGAACGGCAGCACAGUAAGAGCUUGCUCUUACGGGUGGCGAGUGGCGGACGGGUGAGGAAUACAUCGGAAUCUACUUUUUCGUGGGGGAUAACGUAGGGAAACUUACGCUAAUACCGCAUACGACCUACGGGUGAAAGCAGGGGAUCUUCGGACCUUGCGCGAUUGAAUGAGCCGAUGUCGGAUUAGCUAGUUGGCGGGGUAAAGGCCCACCAAGGCGACGAUCCGUAGCUGGUCUGAGAGGAUGAUCAGCCACACUGGAACUGAGCCACGGUCCAGACUCCUACGGGAGGCAGCAGUGGGGAAUAUUGGCCAAUGGGCGCAAGCCUGAUCCAGCCAUACCGCGUGGGUGAAGAAGGCCUUCGGGUUGUAAAGCCCUUUUGUUGGGAAAGAAAAGCAGCAGGUUAAUACCCCGCUGUUCUGACGGUACCCAAAGAAUAAGCACCGGCUAACUUCGUG